rnacentral:rRNA from 1 species
AAAGCCUGAUCCAGCCAUGCCGCNUGUGUGGAGAAGGUCUUCGGAUUGUAAAGCACUUUUUUUUGGGAGGAAGGGCAUUAACCUAAUACGUUGGUGUUUUGACGUUACCGACCCAAAAAAAACC